rnacentral:lncRNA from 1 species
GCAAACAAGAUGUCGGGGUUCAAAUGCGGUGAUCCGGGAUCAGUCCCGCGAAAGAAAAAUUUCGGGGUUCAAGAAAAUGAAAAAAGAGAAAAUUUUCGGGGUUCAAGAAAAACAAAAAGAGAUCACAAUCCCCAGCGGAUGUGUGGUGUUCAGGCCAUGGUUAUCCCUGUGUUACCAUUUAUUUUGGUGUCCAGGUCGACGUUGCUGUUUCGGUGAUCAGGCCGACUUUCUCCGUACCAGACGGAUUUUUC